GGACCCGUAGCUCAGCUGGAUAGAGCGUCGCCCUCCGAAGGCGAAGGUCGUGAGUUCGAAUCUCGUCGGGUCCG
rnacentral:tRNA from 1 species